AUACGGAGGGUGCAAGCGUUAUCCGGAGUCAUUGGGUUUAAAGGGUCCGUAGGCGGGCAAUUAAGUCAGAGGUGAAAUCCCACAGCUCAACUGUGGAACUGCCUUUGAUACUGGUUGUCUUGAGUUAUAGUGAAGUAGAUAGAAUGUGUAGUGUAGCGGUGAAAUGCAUAGAUAUUACACAGAAUACCGAUUGCGAAGGCAGUCUACUAACUGUCGACUGACGCUAAUGGACGAAAGCGUGGGGAGCGAACAGGAUUAGAAACCCGGGUAGUCC
rnacentral:rRNA from 1 species